AUAGUUCUCUACUGUUCUUAUGUGUUUUGCGCAGAAGCCUGGACCAGGUCAGACCCGCCGAGCUUGCCGUGAUUCGGAGGCCGCCUGUCCGAGGCCCAUGCCCAU
rnacentral:sRNA from 1 species